AUGCUCGUAACUUGCAACAAACCCUUGAUUCUUGGUUGAUCCAAUCAAGUCUUGUCAAUAUCAAUGGAACUUGAGUGUUGAUAAGGUGUAAACCAUAAUCCACCAAAAUGGAUGAUUGAUCUUGAUAAUGACUUGAUUCAUCCCUUGUGUGUGAUCCCUUAUUUGUUAUUGUUGCAUUCAUGCAUUCAUGCGCAUCAUAACAUUCAUCACACGAAAAUUUCAAGGAACUAAGGUAUCAUUUGCA
rnacentral:lncRNA from 1 species